rnacentral:snoRNA from 1 species
GAUGAAUGACGACAAAAUGUUUCGGUUUCUUAUGAUUAUUCCGUUACAUUUAUUUCUGAUGCU